rnacentral:rRNA from 1 species
GACGAACGCUGGCGGCGUGCUUAACACAUGCAAGUCGAACGGAAAGGCCCUGCUUUUGUGGGGUGCUCGAGUGGCGAACGGGUGAGUAACACGUGAGUAACCUGCCCUUGACUUUGGGAUAACUUCAGGAAACUGGGGCUAAUACCGGAUAGGAGCUCCUGCUGCAUGUUGGGGGUUGGAAAGUUUCGGCGGUUGGGGAUGUACUCGCGGCUUAUCAGCUUGUUGGUGGGGUAGUGGCUUACCAAGGCUUUGACGGGUAGCCUGCCUGAGAGGUGGACCGGCCACAUUGGGCCUAAGAUACGGACCAGACUCCAACGGGAGGCAGCAGGGGGGAAUAUUGCACAAUGGGCGGAAGCCUGAUGCAGCAACGCCGCGUGCGGGAUGACGGCCUUCGGGUUGAAAACCGCUUUGGCCGGUGACGAAGCGUGAGUGACGGUAAUGGGUAAAGAAGCACCGGCUAACUACGUG